GACGAACGCUGGCGGCGUGCCUAAUACAUGCAAGUCGAACGAACCGCGACUAAGUGCUUGCACUAAGUCAAGGUGAGUGGCGAACGGGUGAGUAACACGCGGGUAACCUACCUCAUAGUGGGGGAUAACAGUCGGAAACGACUGCUAAUACCGCAUAGGACAUAGGAUCACAUGAUCCAGUGAGGAAAGGUGGCGCAAGCUAUCGCUAAGAGAUGGACCCGCGGUGCAUUAGCUAGUUGGUAGGGUAAAGGCCUACCAAGGCGAUGAUGCAUAGCCGACCUGAGAGGGUGAUCGGCCACAUUGGGACUGAGACACGGCCCAAACUCCUACGGGAGGCAGCAGUAGGGAAUCUUCCGCAAUGGACGCAAGUCUGACGGAGCAACGCCGCGUGAGUGAAGAAGGUCUUCGGAUCGUAAAGCUCUGUUGUUAGAGAAGAACAGCGCAUAGAGUAACUGCUAUGCGUGUGACGGUAUCUAACCAGAAAGCCACGGCUAACUACGUG
rnacentral:rRNA from 1 species